rnacentral:rRNA from 1 species
GUCCACGCCCUAAACGAUGAUGACUAGUUGUUGGGGGAGUUAAAUCCCUUAGUAACGCAGCUAACGCGUGAAGUCAUCCGCCUGGGGAGUACGGUCGCAAGAUUAAAACUCAAAGGAAUUGACGGGGGCCCGGCACAAGCGGUGGAUGAUGUGGUUUAAUUCGACGCAACGCUAAAAACCUUACCUACCCUUGACAUGUACGGAAUCCUGCAGAGAUGCAGGAGUGCCCGAAAGGGAACCGUAACACAGGUGCUGCAUGGCUGUCGU